ACACUCUGCGGGAGGCAGCAGUGGGGAAUAUUGCACAAUGGGCGCAAGCCUGAUGCAGCCAUGCCGCGUGUAUGAAGAAGGCCUUCGGGUUGUAAAGUACUUUCAGCGGGGAGGAAGGCGAUAAGGUUAAUAACCUUGUUGAUUGACGUUACCCGCAGAAGAAGCACCGGCUAACUCCGUGCCAGCAGCCGCGGUAAUACGGAGGGUGCAAGCGUUAAUCGGAAUUACUGGGCGUAAAGCGCACGCAGGCGGUCUGUCAAGUCGGAUGUGAAAUCCCCGGGCUCAACCUGGGAACUGCAUUCGAAACUGGCAGGCUAGAGUCUUGUAGAGGGGGGUAGAAUUCCAGGUGUAGCGGUGAAAUGCGUAGAGAUCUGGAGGAAUACCGGUGGCGAAGGCGGCCCCCUGGACAAAGACUGACGCUCAGGUGCGAAAGCGUGGGGAGCAAACAGGAUUAGAAACCCCGGUAGUCCCAUG
rnacentral:rRNA from 1 species